UCUUGUUGUAAUCGCUAUUGGGAACACGCUACUGCAGAGACAGACGAGACAACACAGAUCCUGGGCGUGUGGUGGGAGGGAGGGUGGUCUCUGUGGCAGGGCAGGGGAGAGUGGAGCUUGUCUCAGGAGCCUCUGGCUAGGCCCUGGGCCAGACUCUGCUGUGCUGCCCACCCCUCCAGCUGCCUGCCCUCCCCGAUAAAGGCAGAGGAAGGGGCUGGGGGAGGGCGAGUGGGUGAUUUGAAGACAGGUGGGUGAUUUACAGCCCCACAAUUACAAGAGGGCCAGCGGCUUGAGUUUUCAGGAAAGAAGGCCAGGCCUUACGUGCUUCCGGAAGCUGCUCUGUCCAGGGGCAGAAGACGAGUUGGGAUCUCUGACCCACAACCAUUUUCUUUAUUUUUUUAUUUUUGAGACAGAGUCUCGCUCUGUCACCCAGGCUGGAGUGCAGUGGCCCAAUCUCAGCUUACUGAAACCUCUGCCUCCCAGGUUCAAGCAAUUCUCUUGCCUCAGCCUCCUGAGUAGCUGGGAUUACAGGCACUCGCCACCAUGCCCAACUAAUUUUUGUAUAUUUAGUAGAGAUGGGGUUUCACCACGUUGGCUAGGAUGGUCUCGAACUCCUGACCUCAGGUGAUCCGCCCACCUCAGCCUCCCAAAGUGCUGGGAUUACAGGCGUGAGCCACUGCGCCCAGCCCCCACCCCUAUUUUCUUAGCUCUCCUGGCUGCCUCCUUUUAAACCCCAAACCUGAAGCCUGUGUUUAGUGCUAUGAAUUCUCCUGCCUUUUCCAAAUUGCUCUGGCAACAGAUGUUGGUCCAGAUGUUUUUCAGUUCCCGAUUCUGUGCCUUGGUUCUGCACCUCCCCAGCCCUGGAUUCCCUUGGUGGCUCCUACACAUGCCCCCUCCUUCUUUCCCUCUCUUCUACAUCCAUCCCAUCCAGGAAGGCAGUCCCAGAGCCUGGAUUCCCCCAGCCCCAUCGCUCUGACAGCCCUGGAGGAAGGGACCUCAGGGACAGCUGGAAAGUCCUUCACCAGAGGCCAGCCUUGGACUGGGAUUCAGAGCAGGCUUUUCAGGAGAGCUGAGCUGGAGAGGAGGAGAGGAACCAAAGGCCAGGCUGGGAGGUGGCAGCUGAGGAAAGAGCAGCCUCUGGGAAAAGCAAGCUCUCAGGGAUCUCAGGGGAGGGGCUUGGCUUGGGCCCAGCUCAGUCUGUGGGGCAGGUGGGGAGAGACAGGGAGAGGCGGUCCUAUCACCAUGCAGGACCAUGCCCUGGGCCCCCUCCAGGAGCUGGCAGCACCGAGGCUUCUUUCUGGGCUGGGCCUGGCCAGCGGUCAUGGGUAUGGAGGGGAGAGGGCCUGACCAACGCUGCCCACUCCCGCAGACACUUCUGCUUCCGCCCCCCCACUGGAAACACAAUGCCGUCAUUCAGAUCCAUGGGGUGGAGGGAUAUUCAGUGAUGUGGAAAAGCUCAUCAUUAGCAGAUGAAAAAGACAAGUUACAAAAUGGAGAUCUUAGUUUUGUGAAACAAGCAAAGACACAAGUGGGUAAACCGGAACCAUGUAAACGGAAGCAGAAAAACGUAAAUGAAACCUGUAAUCAGAGGCACCUAAAGAGAAAGCAUUGCAAUUAGGUAAUAGCCGAACCUAGAGACGCUGAUGAUGUAAAUGUUUAUGAUGGCGAGAAAAGCCUCUUACGAGAUGCUAAUACUCACUCUGUUAAGAAAAGCCGUAAUGGAAAUCUAAACAAAAAAUGUUAACCAUGUAAAUUUAAACAUGCAUCCAGCACUUGCUCAAUGACAGGUACCCAUCUCAGUCUUUAUCUCAAAUGCUCACAACAGCCCUUUGAGAUAGGCUCUGUUAUUUUCACCUCCAGUUCACCUGUGAAGAAACGGAGGCACACAGAUGCACAGAGAGGUUAAGUAACUUGUCCUGGAUCACACCGCCAGAAAAUAGCAGGCUUGUGAUUUGCACCCAAGCAGCCCGUCUCGAGGAAGAGACAUGAGAAGCAACAGUGCCAGUUAUCUGUUAGAUGUGCGUCUGUGUUGGGGUGUGGGGAGGACUUCUCUGUGGUUUUACUUUCUUUGUGCUUUUCUAUAUUUUCCAACUUUUCCCCAAAGAACGUGUUAUGUUAUUUUUGUAAUCAGUGCAUCUCCAUUCCCAUGCCACCCCACACAAAAUAAAUGGCAAAUUUUAAAGUAACAAAACGAGACAAAGAUGUCCUGGAAAGGGACUCCUUCUGGAGCCCUGGGACUCUGUCCUGCUCCCGAGGGGUUGUCAAAGGGGGAGAACAGUGGCCCCGGGACUGGGAAGGCCAGCGGGAGGGUUCAGCUCCCCUCUGUCUGAUGUGUGGCCCCUUCGUGGUCCCAGAGACUCUGGGCUAUGUUCCUGAGGAACUCCUAGGUCUCAGGCCAGAGCCAGACCUCAUCCCGGCUGGCGCUGAGUGGUCCUGAGCUUCCUAAGCUUCGGGGAGGUGUGUGUCUGCAUGUGCAUGUGCGUUUGUGUGUGUAGGUGUGUGCACAGAGCCAGCAUAGAGGAGUCUGGGAGCCCCCUCCUUGGUUUCUUGGCACCACACCCCGAAUAUAUUCCCAUGUCUGCACAAAGCAAGACUCCCCCUGCACCAUCCAGCUGCUGAGGAACCCUGCUGGGGACCAGAAGCUCCUCACCUCCCCGGCAAUGCAGGCCAUGGAGGGUGCUUUCUGUUGCAGAGGGAGGGGCUCGGCUUCAGGAACACUCGGUGGGAUCCUAUCGCUGGCUCUUAGCCACGUGGCCUUGGAACCUGGGUUCUCUGAACUUCGGGUCCAUCAUUUGUCAAAAGGGCCGAUGAUGACUGCGUGGUUCACAUAAGACAAAUUGGUCCCAGAGCAGGGGCAGGGCUCCAUAAACACGCUCCUUAAAGUCAGCCUCCCUGUAAGGCCUUCCUCUGCUGCCAGCCAUCCAUGUGAUGCCGCCCAGAAGAGAUCUGAUCCCUGAUGCACCUCUUCCCCAGGCAGGCUUUCCCCAGCUCUUCUGCCACCCUGGAUAGCAGGCUGCCCAGGCUUGCUGCGUCUUCAUCUCUCUAGAGUAGUUUUCUCAAAUGCCUGGGAAACCUGGCUGAAAACGAAAGUUCUAGACUCUAUCCGUGGAGAGUCUGAUUUAGGAGUUCCAGGAAGGAGCCCCAGAAUCUAAUUUUUUAUCAUCUCCCAGUGGUUCUAAGUGCUCUGCUCCUUUCCAGUUGGCAAUGUCUUGCCUUAAGUGUCAUCCUGAAGUGACCAGUGCCAAGCUUGGACCUGAGAAGUCAUCCCUCUGGCUGCCCCUGCUCUUCCCACCAGCCUCCUGGGUGCCCUGGGGGUGUGCUGUGCCACAGCCAGACAGUAUCACCUCACACUUCUCUACAGGGCUCUCUCUGAAACUGGGCAGCAGCUGGAGCCAGGAGCCCUGGCCUCCCCAACUCUGCCCCUCAGUGGAUUCUGUGCCAAGAAUGUUUGUCCACAUAGAAGCCUGUGCAGACAGCACGAAGGGCUCCCGGAAGGAGCGGGUGAGCUUGGCCUGUGGCUCUGCAGUCCUUCCUAUCAGGCUGAAGGAGUCCCGCCCUGUGAAGAACACAGGCCUCCAAAGAUUCUGCCCUGCGAGGCCUACUCGGGAUUCCAGAACUGGCUCAGUGGAAGUAGGCAGCUGGGGAACAGUGGAUAGGGGACCUCCUCUUGGCCAGUAAUCUGAGAUUCAGAGGCUCGCAGAGAAAAUGCUGGGCCUCUCCAGCCCCGAGGCAGUUGGGGGGCCAUGGGGAGGGUGGUGACCUCUUGACCCAGGGCAGGCAUUCACUGUGUCUGGCCCUUCAGUCCUCUCAGAAUGAAGCCCUCUGGACUGGAGGGGGUGGAGGGAGACCCACUAUCCCUCAAUUCCCGACUCCCUGAGCCUCUCCCUCAGACAGGUGCUCACAGCAGGCCCUGUCUCAACUGGCCAGCUCUGACCAUGAGAGCAUUCAGCCUAAGGCCACGGUCAGAGCUGCACCCCUGGAGCGGCCCCGAAAUGCGCACCGUCUCUGAUGCCAAGCCCUUGUGAUAUUUAGAGAUAGUAUCAGGCCCUCCUGGAGCCGCCCAGAGCACCAUCAGAGCCAGAGCCCCUGCGUUCAAAUUAAACUCUUGGAGCCUCAGUUUCGUCAUCUAUGAAAUGCAGACAUCCAUGGCCGUUAGUGAUGGAACGCGUGCCCUGGCCAGGCAUUGCACUAAGUGUGUCACAUGUUUAUUUAGGCUUCCAGAUCCUCUGCCAGCCCAGCGGGACUGGCUCCUGGCUGUCUGCAGAGCGGUGCCGGCUCCCUCUGCUGGAACGAUUGUGAAUCGCAGUCAGGAUGGGAGACGACAAGGUAGAAUUGCGCUGGGUGGUAGGGACCUUGGAGAUGAAGUUCAAAAACACCUGGCCCAACCUGGUAUUUCACAGAUGAGGAAACUGAGGCCAAAGGUGGCCGCCUCAAUGGAUGAUUUCUUUGAUGUUUGCCUGUGUGGGUCCCAGAUUUGGGCACUCUCCCCCUCGCCCCGACUCCACGCUGCAGAGAGGAGCUGGGCAGUUUGGUUCUGCCCAUUGGCUCCCUGACUCCUGAACCCCAGUUUCCAGUCCAGCCCACCUCACUCUUCUGGGACUACUCGGCAGAGUGGCGGGAAGGACACCACCAGGAUGCAGGCAUAGGGCAGAGGCAGAGGUUCCAGCUGUGCUCUUCCUGCAGCAAGCUGCAGUUCAGAGGGCAAGGCAGGAGGUCAGAAGGGCUGGGCUAUGGCGUCCACCCACCCACACCAUGCCUGGGAAGGACAGAGCCAGAGACCUGGGGUCUCCCAGCAGGUGCCACUCAGGGAAGCAAGAGGGAGCUGCACAGCAUCUAGGGUCCAGCGCAUUUGCUCAUCCAGCUGGUAAUAUGACUGAUGACUGACGGUAGAGAGGCCCAGAGACACUUCCAGUGGGGACGCUAGCAGACUUGGAAGGUUCUGGAAAGUGGUAGCUUCUCCGUGUCUGCUCUUCAUGGUACUAGCUCUCUGCUGGAAGCUAUGUGAUUUGCUUUAUGGUUAUUACUUUUCUUGUCGUUAUUAUUAUUUUAGACAACAGAGUCUAGCUGUGUCACCCAGGCUGGAGUGCGGUGAUGCAAUCUCUACUCACUGCAACCUCUGCCUCCCAGAUUCAAGGGAAUCUCCUUCCUCAGCCUCCCGAGUAUCUGGGACUACAGGCGACUGCCACCACUCCUGGCUAAUUUUUGUGUUUUUAGUAGAGCUGGGGCUUCGCCGUCUUGGCCAGGCUCGUCUUAGGCUAGAGUUCAGUGACAUGAUCACAGCUCACUGCAGCCUCCAACUCCUGGGCUCAAGUGAUCCUCCCGCCUCAGCCUCCUGAGUAGUUAGGGCUAGAGGGGUACACCACCACACCCAGCUAAUUUUACAAUUUUUUCUGGAGACAGGAUCUUGCUUGAACUUCUGGCCUCAAACAAUCCUCCUGCCUUGGCCUCCCAAACUGCUGGCAUUGCAGGCAUGAGUCACUGUGCCUGGUCUCCUUUCAAUAAUACUACAAGGUUUUGUGUCUUUUAUGCUCCUGAGUGAGUGCUGGCGCCUAACAGGUGAUUGCUGGGUGAAUAAGUGAACAGAUGAAUGAAGAAGGUAGAAAGGAAACAGAAGUUAGGAGAGCAGAAGUGACUGGGAAAGGCAACAGUGGCCUGGAAACCUCCUUGAGGAGGGGGUCAACAUCCCUUGGACACAAAUUUCUUUCCUACCUGGCUGCACAUUAGAGGGAUUCUCCACUCUUUCCUGCCUCUCCUGGGCCGACUGGUGACUCCUGGACAUCAGUAUUGGGAGGGCAGGGGGCCUGGAGGCUGGUCAGAGACCCACACAGAGACCAUACUUCUCCCUUCCCAAGGGACGCUGCCAGCCUCUGCAAGGAGACUGCCCAAAGGCUGGUGGAUGGCACAGAAACUUGAGGUGCUAGAAUGCGAUCACCUUUCCCGCCCAGCAUUGAUUAUGCACCAACUGUGUUCAUGUGCGGGAGCCUGUGAGGAAACUCUGGACUUGUGCAUGUUUCACGGUGAUGCCAUCCUUUGGCCUGGUUUCAGAUGAGACUAGUGCAGGCACAAGCCGCAGGUGACAGGAUUGUGCUUUGGGCAAUGAGUGCCACGGGACAAGGGUGAGGAUGCCGGGGCUGGGCAGUCAGCAAGGAGGUGGAACUUGGACUGGGUCUUGAAGCAGAGCGGAAAGGCAAGGGCACUGCUGGCAGGAGGGAUGGCCUGUGUGGAGGCUGGAGGUCAGGACACACAGGGGCAGCUGCUUUACCUGAGCCUGAGGCUUUAGUAGGAAAUCAAUUUGGAAAGAGACACUAGAACCAGGUCCUGAAGGAAUUUGCCAGGCCAAAGAGUUUUGGAUUUGAAACAGAAAGAUGACAUGUGAGACCCACAGGACAGUGUGCUGAAGCUGGGGUGAAUCCCCUGGGGCCAGCCAGGCAGCCCCUCACCGCUUCCUGCAGACCUCUCCAGUUAAGGGGUCAUUCCCAGCAGUGGCCAGUAGGGGGCAGAACAAGCUCAAGUUCCCUUAGCUCAGGCCUUCGCGUCAGGGUUCAGUGUCCUGGGAGAGACCUGGGGUGGGUGUCCCUUGGAGAGUGGGGAGGUGCACCAGGCACAGGGAAAACAGGCCAGCUGUGCAUAGAUGGAGGGUGGGGGGAGGCUGGCUAGUCUGUGGCCACUGAAGCUGCAUGGUCUGGUGACCUGACCUGGACAGCCCUGGGGUGAGCAUCCACCCUUCCUGGGCCUAGGCUCCCCUGCACUAACGCAGCUUUCCAGCUGGGCCCGCUUGCCUUUGCUUCCCUCAGCCCCUCCUUCCCAGUAGAAGAACCCUCGUCACUUGAGGUGUCUGAAUUGGGCCUCCUGGCACCCCAGCUCCUUUGGAAUCAAACCAAAUCCAGGAAUGCGGCUCACUCUCUUCCCUAGAGAGGAUGAGGGAAGACUGUCGGGCCAAUGACAAGAUAAAGCAUCCGAGGGUCAGAGAAGUGGCAUGAGAACCCCAGUAAGGAGGUGGGAGCUGACACGCUAGUCCCGGGCCGCCUCCACUCUGCCUCUGUAAGAUGGACGUUAAGGAGUGUGUGUGGCAGGGGUGAGUGUGAAGGACUGAUGGUUCCACAAAGACCUGCAAAGUCCUUCUUUCCCAGGGCACUCUACCCUUGGCCCCAGUGUCUCUGGCCAGGCUGUUAGAUCUUCUGGUCAGAAACUUUUUCUCAAACAGCUAUUUGCCUUGUCACUUGUCCUUUUAGGAAAAAGUUCUUGUACAAAUUUCAUUCUUGUGGGUCAGAGAUUUUGUCUGGGCCUGAAUCAGAGACAGGGAAGAAGGGGCCCUGAAAUGGGAUGAGAGAAGGAGGGGCUGGGCCAGAUGCCCAGGGCGCGUCAACCUGCCCUUGCAAACUUCCUGCUCGCAUUUAAAAGUUGGCUUCUGGCCAGGCACAGUGGCUCACACCUGUAAUCCUAGCAUUUCGGGAGGCUGAGGCAGGAGGAUCGUUUGAGGUCAGGAGUUUGAGACCAGCCUGGGCAACGAAGUGAGACCCAGUAUCUACAAAAAGAAAAAAAAAUCAGCCGUACAUGGUAGUGCACACUUGUAGUCCCAGCUACUCAGGAGGAUGAGGUGGGAGGAUCGAUUGAGCUGAGGAGUUUGAGGCUGCGGUGAGCUGUGAUCAUACCACUGCACUCCAGCCUGGGGGACAGCUAAAGACCCUGUCUCUAAAAUAAAUACAUAAAUAAAAACAAAGGUUGGGAUGGAGUAGCUGAGAGGGCAGACCUCCUGCCACGAACCUCCUUUUUCAGAUGGAAUAGAGGCCUGCUCCUCCAGGGCUCCCCUCCUCUGUCAAAUAUCCUCUAAACCACCCCUCUUCCUGGUCUCAGUAAAGCCAUCCCCACAUCUUCCAGUGGUCCCUGCGUCACUCUGUGCAGGUGCCAUAGUUAAAUGGCAUAGACUGGGUAGCAUGUAAACAACAGAAAUUUGUUUCUCACAUUUCUGGAGUCUGGGAAGUCUAAAAUGAAGAUACUGAUAGAUCCGGAGUCUGGCGGGAGCCUACUGUCUAGUUCAUAGAAGGCAACUUCUCAGCGAGUCCUCACAUGGUGGAAGGGCAACACAGCUGUCUGGCUUCUCUUUUAUAAGGGCACUCAUCCCUUUUAUCAGAGCUCUAACUCACCUCACAAAGGUCCCACACCUAAUACUGUCGCCUUGGCAUUAAGACUUUAACAUAUGAAUUUUGGGGAGACACAAACAUUCAGACCAUAGCAUUCUGCCCUGGCCCGAUAAAUUUUAUGUCCUUCUCACAUGCAAAAUACAUUGAUUUCAUUUCAGUAGUCCCAAAUGUCUUAACUCAUUCUAGCAUCAACUUUAAAGUUUAAAUCCAAAGUCUCAUGUAAGUAUCAUCGAAAUCAGAUAUAAAUGAAACUCAAGGUAUAAUUCAUCCUGAGGCAAAUUUCUCUCCAGGUAUGAACCUGUGAAAUCAAACAAGUUAGGUGCAUUCAAAAUACAACGGGGGCGAUAGGUGGAGGAUAGACACUCCCACUCCGAAAGGGAGCAAUAGGAAGGAAAGAAGGGAUACAAACAAAAUGAAAUCUCAAGGCUGGAGAAUAAUUUUUUUUUUUGAGUUGGAGUCUUGCUCUGUCACCCUGUCACCCUGGCUGGAGUGCAGUGGUGUGAUCUCGGCUCACUGCAACCUCCACCUCCUGGGCUCAAGUGAUUCAAGGCUGGAGAAUAAUCUUUGGCUGAUGCUCUGCCCUCUAGACAGUGGGGUGGGGGUUGAGGCCUCAGAACUCCAGGACCCACCUGCCCCCAUAGCUUUGCUGGGCAUUGCCCAUGUUCCAUCUCUCACAGAUUGUAGUUGGGUGCCCGUGGGUCUCUCAGUCUGGAAUUUCAUGCUGGUGGGUCUAUGGUCUGGGAUGUUGGUGGUGCCCCAUCCCCAUGGCUUCAUUAGGCAUUGCCCUGGUGCGACUCUCCAUACAGGCUCCACCCUUGCUGUAACUCUCUGCCUGGGUCACAUAACUGAGGUUCCUGGCGCUUCAAUCUUUAGUAUCUAGGUGAAGGUAGCCACGUUCCCACUGCUCAUGCACAUUGACAAGGAUGGCACGUCAUGGAGCUGCCAAGGUUUAUUACCUGUGCCCUCCAUAGGGGUAGCCUUGUGCUCUACCUAGGCCCACUGGAGUCAUACCUGGGGUGGCCAACGGGUACUGUGCUAAAGUGCAGGGAGGGGAGCCUUAAAAUCAUUCUGUCCCCCAGGCCCUUGCACUUUGGGCCUGUGAUGGGAAGGACAAUUCUGAUAAUCGCCAAGAUGUUUUUGGGGACAGCCUUCCAUUCCGUUCUUCAACAGCACCUGGCUUCCCUUGAGAUACCCUAUCCAUACCAAUCCCUUUUUCAAAUCACUGUGGAGCUGCAUUCUUGGUGUUUUCUCUGUACGCACUUUCUCAUUCUUUUCAAUAUGGAUAGGGUGAGAAUUUUCCAAAAAAUUUAAAUGGUUUCCCUUUUGAUUAAUAAUUCUAUCUUCAAAUCAUUUGUCUCUUCUCAAAGGUUACUACAAGCACCAAGAGAAACCAAGUUGCACCUUCAACACUGCUUAGAAUUUAUUCAUUCAAAUAUCCCACUGCAUCAUUUAAAUAUUCCAUUGCAUCACUUACAAAUUCUACCUUCUGCAAAACACUAUGACACAAACUUAAUGCAGUCAAGUUCUUUACCACUUUCUAAUAAGGAUUGUCUUUCCUACAGUUUUCAGUAAAACAUUCCUCAUUUCUGAGACCUUGUCAGGAUGGCCUUUACCAUCCAUAUUUCUACCAAUAGACUGUUCAUGACCACUUAGGUAACCUACAAGAAGAUUAAUUAAGGCUUUCUGUGCAACUCUCCACAUCAGAACUGCUCUUAACAGUCUAUUCAUGGCUAUGGUUAGGCUUUUUCUAGGUUGCACUUCCAAACUCUUUCAGUCUCUACCCAUUACCUAGUUCCAAAGCCACUUGCACAUUUCAGGUAUUUGAUAUAGUGGCACCCCACUCCUGGUACUAAUUUUCUGUUUUAGUCCGUUCAGGCUGCUAUAACAAAAUGCUACUAGCUUAUAAACAAUAGAACUUUAUUUCACAAUCUUAGAGGCUAGGAAGUCCAAGGCACUGGCAGAUUUGGUGUCUGGUGAGGGAAUGCUUUCUUGUUCGUAGAUGGUACUUUCUCGGUGUGUUCUCAUAUGGUCGAAGGACAAGACAGCACUCUGAGGUCUCUUUUAUAUGGUCACUAAUCACCUCACCAAGGCCCCACCCCCAAUGCCAUCACCUUGGGCAUUGGGAAUUUAACAUAUGGAUUUUGGGCAGCAGGGGGACACAAACAUUUAGACCAUAGCAGACAUCUUCUCAGUAAUCAUCCAGUCCUUUUAAAUUGCGACACUCACCUUUUUCUUGCCAGCAAUCAUUUAAAAAAAUCUAUUUAAAAUAAUAAAAAUUAUGGUAAAUACCAUAAUAGCAGAGAAGGGUAUAUAAAAAUUAAACAUAUUCUACCCAUCACACUUUUCCCUUGUCUCAUCUUAUUGUCUCAUCUAAUCAUUAAGGAACCACUCUUAACAAUUUCUUAUUUAUCCCUAAGAGUUCUGUGUGUAUAGACCAGCACAUAUAGGUACAAGUCACUAUAUGUACUUUGUAAAAAAUAUAUGCAAAUGAGAUUACAUCAUAAUUAUAAUGUAACCAUGUUAUUUUGUAGCUUGUUUUUUCACUUAAUGUCAGAUCCUGGAUGCUCUUUUUUAUGUUAAUAUCUGUAGAUAUACUCAUUUUUUUGUAGUGACUAUAAAAAGCUCAUUGUAAAGAUGUGACUGACCAGUUCCUUUUUUAAUAGACAUUUAUGCUGCUUAGUUUUUGCUAAAGCAAACAAGUUCUAAGAUGAACAACUAUGUUUAUAGAUUAAUUGCCAGCUGACUAAUAAUGUGUGUGUUUAAAAUGUGAACAUAUGUUCCCAGAUUGCCUUUCAAAAACAGUGUAAUGAUUUAUAGUCCUGCUAACAGUGUAUAAAAAUGCCCAUUUCCUUAUAUUUGCACCAGCACGGAUACUGUCAAACUUUUAAAUCUUUGCUAAUUUGACAGGUGAAAAAUGGUAAAAAUUUAAAAAUGUUGAAAGUUUAAAUGCCUUUAUAAGUGAGACUGAGCAUUUAAAAAAUAUAUCUUGGCUAUUUAAACUUUGUUUUCUUUUUUGUGAAUCCUGUGUGUAGAGGGAUUUUUUUGAGAAGGCUAAUCUUUUUCUCAUUGACUUGUAGACGCUCUUUGUGUAUUAAGGAAAUGUGUCUGAAAUUCAUUUUCUUAGUUUCUUCACUACAAAUUAUGUGUUUGAAAAGAUUUUGUUAAAUAGCGCUGCCAAGUUAUUAGUUCUUUUUCUGUUUUCUUCAUCGGAUCCACGUAUACUUAACCUCAAAUGUUUAUCUCCACAAAUAGCCAAUGUUUCUGCAUUGAGUUGAUGUAAAUUCCAGCCAAAAGCAAAGCACUGGAAUUUCUGUCAAUCCCAGAAAUCUCACCAUGGCUAAAUGUAGACUAUCCAUUGGUUUCCUGAAAUAUUUUAAGUGGUUCAUGGAAUCCUAGAGGCCUGGACCCUGGAGUGGGAACCCUGGACCCUGGAGUGGGAACCCCAGCCUCUGAUUUAGCCCUUUCAACAGCACUUCCUUGGACCAGCCCAGCUCACUCCAGCUGGCAGUGUGGUGAGCACAGCUCCUCUGUCCAGCUGUGGAUUCUUCUGUUCUGGUGAGUGGGCCGGGUGUUUGCAUAUUUUCCCCUUUGUUUCUAAGGCACUUAUAGGUGUGGGUCCCUUUUCCUUUUAGCUGAUGGUCCCUGAGGAAGGACUGAACCAGCCUGAGGCCAGGCCCAGUGGGACUUUACUGGGGGUUAAGGAGGAUAUGGAGGAGAGUGGAGCAGGGCGGACAGAAAGAGGCUCACCCUUAGAACCUCCCAGCUGGCCCCCAUCCCUCCUGCCCAUCCUUCAUCCUCCCUACUUCCUUGCAGAAAUGUCAGACCCAUGUGCUAUUCCCUUGAGGGUAGGUGUGGGCCUCCAGGCAGGUUGGGAAGGGCUUUGCAGAGCCCCAGAUUGGAGAGUGAAGGGCUAGACACAAAAUAUGGGCCUGUGUGUCCUAGGUAGGAGUUAAAGGGAUAGAUGGGCGGAGGGGAGAGGGUGUUCUGGGAAGUGGAGGUAGCUUUCAGGCUUCUGGACACCCACCCUCCAGUCUAAAGGCAGCUUCACCUUGUUCGGGAAUGUGUGUGGGGUGACGGUGGUAGUGCUGAGCUUGCAGGUGUUGGGGUGGGAGGAGAGCAAGAGAGGCCAGAAACCUGCCUCUGCUUCCUGACCCGUCUGAGCCUCUGCAGGGACUUAGAGGCUUCCAGGUCUGUUUGUUGUUUUAACCCAGGGCUAACUUGAAAGAGACUGCUACAUUCCUGAGGCAUUGGCAAGUGAAGGUGAUGAAUGGGGUUGGCAGGAGGCAGAGUCUGAGGAAGUCAACAAGAACUCCACUUGACACCCAGGAGCCCAGGUUCCCCGUGCUCUGGGCAGGCGUCCUGUCUAAGGACUGGUACCCACACUGACCCUGGUGGGUGGGGAAGGAGACCUUGGGCUGUGAAAAAUCCUCUUACCUCUUCCCACGAAUGUCCUUCAGCCUUCCUGGGCUGCUCUGUGAGCAUGAGAGUUUGCCCUGUUCUCUGCCUUGGGGCAUAGCUCUCCUGCCCAACUGGGGGGACCUGAGCCUGGAGUGGGCACAGCAAGGGUAAGGGCUGAGGCUGGGAGACCUGGGUCUGUCUCUGGAAAUGUGCCUUGAUGGCAAAUGACUCCUCAGAGAUGCCUGAGCUUUUUCUUUUCUUUUCUCUCUCUCCCCCCCCCCCCAACUCACUCCCUCUCUCUCUUCCCCCAGCUCCCUCCCUCCCUC